UCAAGUAAAUCGUGUGGCAACAUAUAAAGAACUUGACAGUGAUCUUCAAAAGCAUUCAUACCUCAUGACCUUGGAUAAUGAAAUCGACCUGAAGUUAUUGGGAAAAGUUCUCGCUCCCGAAUCAACAGUUUUAGAAGAAGACAGAGCGUGGGACUGGGACCGACUCUUCACGGAAGUUUCAUCUGAAUUACAAACCGAAUGGGAGAUGAACAGGAAAAACGAGGAAAAUGUCGAAUAAAGUUGUAAAUAUGUGUUUAUAAAGUGCGAUUGUUUAAAGUUAUAUUAUUGGUGGUUAAGUGUAAAAGUCUUACUCAUAUUGUUAAAUAAUUUAAACAAGUUACAUUACAAAGUUCCUACAUCCUCUUUUA